rnacentral:rRNA from 1 species
UAAAUAGUUAUGCCAACUGUCGUUGGUAGUCAACUUCUUAGAGGGACUGUCGGCGAUUAGCCGACGGAAGUUUUAGGCAAUAACAGGUCUGUUAUGCCCUUAGAUGUCCUGGGCCGCACGCGCGCUACACUGAUGAAGUCAACGAGUUUAUAACCUUGGCCGGAAGGUCUG